GAUGAACGCUGGCGGCGUGCCUAAUACAUGCAAGUCGAGCGAAUGGAUUAAGAGCUUGCUCUUAUGAAGUUAGCGGCGGACGGGUGAGUAACACGUGGGUAACCUGCCCAUAAGACUGGGAUAACUCCGGGAAACCGGGGCUAAUACCGGAUAACAUUUUGAACCGCAUGGUUCGAAAUUGAAAGGCGGCUUCGGCUGUCACUUAUGGAUGGACCCGCGUCGCAUUAGCUAGUUGGUGAGGUAACGGCUCACCAAGGCAACGAUGCGUAGCCGGCGUGAGAGGGUGAUCGGGCACACUGGGACUGAGACACGGCCCAGACUCCUACGGGAGGCAGCAGUAGGGAAUCUUCCGCAAUGGACGAAAGUCUGACGGAGCAACGCCGCGUGAGUGGUGAAGGCUUUCGGGUCGUAAAACUCUGUUGUUAGGGAAGAACAAGUGCUAGUUGAAUAAGCUGGCACCUUGACGGUACCUAACCAGAAAGCCACGGCUAACUACGUGCCAGCAGCCGCGGUAA
rnacentral:rRNA from 1 species